rnacentral:rRNA from 1 species
GACGAACGCUGGCGGCGUGCUUAACACAUGCAAGUCGAACGGUAAGGCCCUUCGGGGUACACGAGUGGCGAACGGGUGAGUAACACGUGGGUGAUCUGCCCUGCACUUCGGGAUAAGCCUGGGAAACUGGGUCUAAUACCGGAUAGGACCACUGCCUGCAUGGGUGGUGGUGGAAAGCUUUUGCGGUGUGGGAUGGGCCCGCGGCCUAUCAGCUUGUUGGUGGGGUGAUGGCCUACCAAGGCGACGACGGGUAGCCGGCCUGAGAGGGUGACCGGCCAACGUGGGACUGAGAUACGGCCCAGACGCCUACGGGAGGCAGCAGUGGGGAAUAUUGCACAAUGGGCGCAAGCCUGAUGCAGCGACGCCGCGUGAGGGAUGACGGCCUUCGGGUUGUAAACCUCUUUCAGCACCGACGAAGCGCAAGUGACGGUAGGUGCAGAAGAAGGACCGGCCAACUACGUGCCAGCCGCCGCCGUAA